ACGCUCGACACCUACGGGAGGCGGCAGUGGGGAAUAUUGCACAAUGGGGGAAACCCGUGAUGCAGCGACGCCGCGUGAGUGAAGAAGUAUUUCGGUAUGUAAAGCUCUAUCAGCAGGGAAGAAAAUGACGGUACCUGACUAAGAAGCCCCGGCUAACUACGUGCUAGCAGCCGCGGUAAUCUGAGCGGGCUGGCAAGGC
rnacentral:rRNA from 1 species